AAUGGGGGACAGACACGAGAAAAGGAGGGGAAUCAUUUUUAGAAUAUGACAUAGAUGGAGAGGAGCACACACAGAAAAAGAAAAAGGGGGGAUCAAUUUUUUUUCCAUAGAUAGAGAGAGAGAAAGGGAUCCCAAGAGAAAAACUAUCACCAUCACCAUCAUCCUUCAAUUUUUAUCACCACCCUGACUCACCACCACCUCCAUUCAUUUCCACCAUUUACCCCGUCACCACCUCACUCCACCGUUAUAACACAGAACACACACAUCAGCAUAACAAAAAGGGGGGAUCAUUAUUUUUAGAUAGAAAAAGAUUUUUUCUUUAAGCAAACCACUAAGUGAAUACUUAGUGGAGGUAUUUAUUAAAUAAAAUAAUUCUGGUCCACAAACAAAACAAGACAAAAGAAACAGUACAGAAGCAUCUUGAAACCAGGAACCAAUGAUUCCAUCUACCAAAAUUCACACCCACCGAUCUUAGCCCGAUCGUCCUCCUCAUUGAAGAUCCAGCUGAAAUUCCUUCGCAAUAGCAGUACAAGCUCGAUUUCAGCUAAAAGCAGGCUGAUUUCAGUUAUGAUGUUCAUCGAUAUCUGAGUUUAGCAUUUGGAGAAGAUUUCUCACCAACCUCUGAGAUAUGCUUCGUCCCUGUCUCUGAUGCAUUAACAGAUUUUGUGCUAUCUGCUAUUUGAGGAUUUAAAAUAUUGGCAUAAUUCAUCUUGUUAGAGGCUGGUUGUGCGUUUUCCCCUUCAUGUUGUGAUGCUGUUUGAUGCUGACCAGCCCCCAUGGAGGACUGGCCAAUGGCCAUGGUAGCCAUGGAUCAAGUUUGAGAUUUUAAGUUUUUAGGGUUUGCAUGAAAAUAGGAGAAGAGAGUACUCUGUUUAUGCCAAAUUCUAAUUUUCAAAUAAAGUGAACAAUUAUUCUAGAAAAAGGAAAAUAUAGACAUAGAGAGAGAGUGACGGACAGAGGAACAAAAUCAAGAAAAAAAAUCCAUCAUCUUCAUUAUCUUUUGGUCCACUGGAAUCCCCAUCUCCGCCCAUCUCCCAUUUUUUUUCUUUUAAUUUUUUUUUAUUUGAACCACCACGGACACAACAAAAAUGAAAAAAAAAGAAAAGGAUAUCAUCUUCUUGAUUUAUUUACCAUACCCAAAACCACCCUUUCAACCACCGUCUCCACCUUUCACCGCCAACCACAACCAUUGAACCCACCUGAAAACGCCACUGAAACCAGUCACCAAACAGACCCCUAUUUCCUUUGAAACACCCUGUCUUUGUCGAGGUUUCGGUUGAAUUUUUCGUUUGUGGUCGUCGGCUUCUUGAUGUUUUGUUUAUUUGCUGGUGGGUUUUAUUCGUAGUUGAGAGUUUUGGGAAUUGCUUCUUGUUUCAACUAGUGUUCACAUAAUUGAAGGAAUUGUUGGCUACAAAGGUCCAUUUCUUUACCUAUUUUUUAAUAUUAAAAUAUUUUCAGUUGAUGCA